rnacentral:rRNA from 1 species
ACCUGCCCACUGAAAUUAUUUGAAGGGCCGCAGUAAUUUGACUGUGCAAAGGUAGCAUAAUCAUUAGUUUUUUAAUUAAAAGCUUGUAUGAAGGGUUGGACGAGGUAAAAUCUGUCUCUAUCUAAUUUAAUAUAGAAUUUAAUUUUUAAGUUAAAAAGCUUAAAUUUUUUUAAAAGACGAGAAGACCCUAUAGAUCUUUAUAUUAAAUUUAAUAAUUUUAAUUUAGAAUAUUUUAUUUAUUAUUAAUUUUAUUAUUUUAUUGGGGUAAUAAAAAGAUUAAAAUAAUUCUUUUAUAAAUUUUUCAUUUAUUUAUGUUUAUGUGAUCCAAUAUUUUUGAUUAAAAGAUUAAGUUACCUUAGGGAUAACAGCGUAAUUUUUUUAAAGAGUUCAUAUCGAUAAAAAAGUUUGCGACCUCGAUGUUGGAUUAAAAAUUAUCUUAGGUGCAGAAGUUUAAGAUUUUGGUCUGUUCGACCAUUAAAUUUUU